CGGCAAUCUGCGGCUGACGGACUUCCUGAGUUAGGCAUCCUAUCUCUCCUUUAAAAGCCCUCAAUGGAUUUAUUUUUAUUUUCUUCCAGGAAUUUCUCUAAUUACAAGGAUAGCCCGAGCGCUUCUUAACUGUUCUCUGUCCAAACCAGCCACUGAUUUCCAGGUAGAAGUGCCCUCCAUGCCUGCAGUCAUAGGUGGAAGGAGAUCGUCUGAGAGAUUCAGGUAUGAGGUGUUAGUCUCAUUUGUGCUCUGGAGGACAGGCCUGCUCACUCCUUCACUUUCUCCCAACAAUCAUUUACAGAGAUAAUAAUCGCCCAGACUCUGCAGGAAGCACUGAUGGAAGCAAGCACAGAAAUCUCAUGGCAGCACACUACUCUCUCAUCUGCUGUCACUUGGGUGUGAGGCAAGAAAACAAAUCCUUACAGAGAGUCACCCAAGAGCUAGUCCCAGGGGGGCUGGCUAGCAGGAAAAUGGCAACUUUGAAGUUGACAGCCAGACACCAGUGCUGUCCCACAACUGGUGGGCCACUGAAGAACAUGACAAGAUUUUCGAUUUCCUUCCGCAAUCAGAGAACUUCCAGAAGACCCUUGAUGAGAACACCUCAAGUCUACACAAUGGUCCACGAGGUCUCUAACUGCUGCUGCUUGCACAACAGCCCCCAGAAUACCUUGCGUGUCUCCUUUUGAAGUUGUGACCUGAUUACCAUAAGCAACGCACUGCAGAUGUACCUCUGCAAGCCCAGAAGCACCAGGGGAAAUGAAUAUAUUAGUAUUUAUCAUAUUAAUGCAGAUCAAGCUGGGUAUUUGUUCUGACAUUUCAGUAAUAGCUUUUCCUAUUUUUUUUUUUAGCAGCAGCUUGUAUUUUCUUCUUCUUUAAAUAAUUCAUUGUUACAAUAAACUUAUUUUAAAUUGGGGUCCCUUUUUGACCAAACUAAAACCUUUUUUGGAUAGCCAAAGGGGAAAAAAGGUAUAAAUGAAAACUCCCUCUUUUCUCUCC
rnacentral:lncRNA from 1 species